rnacentral:rRNA from 1 species
GAUGAACGCUGGCGGCGUGCUUAACACAUGCAAGUCGAACGAAGCACUUUCUUACGAUCCCUUCGGGGUGACGAGUUAGUGACUGAGUGGCGGACGGGUGAGUAACGCGUGGGUAACCUGCCUUAUACAGGGGGAUAACAGUUGGAAACGGCUGCUAAUACCGCAUAAGCGCACAGUACCGCAUGGUACAGUGUGAAAAACUCCGGUGGUAUAAGAUGGACCCGCGUCUGAUUAGCUAGUUGGUGAGGUAACGGCCCACCAAGGCGACGAUCAGUAGCCGAUCUGAGAGGAUGAACGGCCACAUUGGGACUGAGACACGGCCCAGACUCCUACGGGAGGCAGCAGUGGGGAAUAUUGCACAAUGGGCGAAAGCCUGAUGCAGCGACGCCGCGUGAGUGAUGAAGUAUUUCGGUAUGUAAAGCUCUAUCAGCAGGAAGAUAAUGACGGUA